UCCAUCUCCAAUGUCUGGACCUGAUUGCAAGUUCUCCAGAACAAGAAUUCUCUUCUUCAAGGGUCCUCAGGCUGCAGUCAGUCUGCCAAGCCCCUGUUUGGGGUCCCAAAGCAUCUUCUUACCCAAAGCCAGCACUGACAGACCCAGGUGGGCACCACUGUGUGAAGGGCUGUGGAGUUCAGGACAGUGUGAAGAGGAGGUGCUGCAGUUUGGUUUUGCUACACUCCCCCAGCCCAGCCUUCAGAUGGUUUCACACAAAAAGAAGUGUGGCAAGGGCAAGCUCAGUACCUUUGUGAGGUGGAGCUGCUGUGGGCUUAUAUGGCCACUGAAAGGAAUGCAGUCCUGGCCGAGUACUUUUCCAGUGAAAAAAUGUUAAUUUGUUCCAUGCCAUCACCAUUUUUUCAUGUACCUAUGUUCAAAGUCAAUUUUCACUGAUCACCCCAGAGAGAGAGAAUUUGUAAAUACACUGCAUUAAAUCAUGUUUGGUAGCAACCUGUGAACCGUGCUGAUAAAAUAAGAAUUGAACAAAACUACUCAACCUCAAUCUAAUGAGAUCAAAAAACAUCAG